rnacentral:rRNA from 1 species
AGAGUUUGAUCCUUGGCUCAGGAUGAACGCUAGCUACAGGCUUAACACAUGCAAGUCGCGGGGUAACAUCUGGGAGAGCUUGCUCUUCCAGGAUGACGACCGGCGCACGGGUGAGUAACGCGUAUCCAACCUGGCCCAUACCACGGGAUAGCCCGUCGAAAGGCGGAUUAAUACCGUAUGCUGUCAUUAAGAUGCAUAUAUUGAUGACGAAAGGACUGGCGGUAUGGGAUGGGGAUGCGUCUGAUUAGCUUGUUGGCGGGGUCACGGCCCACCAAGGAUGACGAUCAGUAGGGGUUCUGAGAGGAAGGUCCCCCACAUUGGAACUGAGACACGGUCCAAACUCCUACGGGAGGCAGCAGUGAGGAAUAUUGGUCAAUGGGCGCAAGCCUGAACCAGCCAAGUAGCGUGAGGGAAGACUGCCCUACGGGUUGUAUACCUCUUUUGUUUGGGAAUAAAGUGCGGGACGCGUCCCGCAUUGCAUGUACCAUUUGAAUAAGGACCGGCUAAUUCCGUGCCAGCAGCCGCGGUAAUACGGAAGGUCCGGGCGUUAUCCGGAUUUAUUGGGUUUAAAGGGAGCGCAGGCCGUGGGUUAAGCGUGUCGUGAAAUUCCGUCGCUCAACGGCGGACGUGCGGCGCGAACUGGUCCACUUGAGUACGCGGGACGUUGGCGGAAUUCGUGGUGGAGCGGUGAAAUGCUUAGAUAUCACGAAGAACUCCGAUUGCGAAGGCAGCUGACGGUAGCGCAACUGACGCUGAGGCUCGAAAGUGCGGGUAUCGAACAGGAUUAGAUACCCUGGUAGUCCGCACGGUAAACGAUGGAUGCCCGCUAUUCGCCCACCUGGG